rnacentral:rRNA from 1 species
UUGCUCUUCAACGAGGAAUGCCUAGUAGGCACGAGUCAUCAGCUCGUGCCGAUUACGUCCCUGCCCUUUGUACACACCGCCCGUCGCUACUACCGAUUGAAUGGCUCAGUGAGGCCUUCGGACUGGCUCAGGGGGGUUGGAAACGACCCGCCAGAGCCGGAAAGUUCGUCAAACUUGGUCAUUUAGAGGAAGUAAAAGUCGUAACAAGGUUUCCGUAGGUGAACCUGCGGAAGGAUCAUUACAGAGUCCCGGUGGCCGGCGUGCCCCUACGCGCGCGUCCGCCACCGUCCUCACCACCCGUGUCUACCGUACCCCGUUGCUUCGGCGGGCCCGCCGCCCCGCGGCCGCCGGGGGACCCCGUAUCCCCGGGCCAGCGCCCGCCGAAGCCCCCCUGAACGCUGCCCGGAAGUUUGCUGUCUGAGCGUUGGCAAUAAAUCGUUAAAACUUUCAACAACGGAUCUCUUGGUUCCGGCAUCGAUGAAGAACGCAGCGAAAUGCGAUAAGUAAUGUGAAUUGCAGAAUUCAGUGAAUCAUCGAAUCUUUGAACGCACAUUGCGCCCCCUGGUAUUCCGGGGGGCAUGCCUGUCCGAGCGUCAUUACUGCCCUCAAGCGCGGCUUGUGUGUUGGGCGUUCGCCCCCCGUGGGGGCGUGCCCGAAAGACAGUGGCGGCGCCGUGCCCGGUCCUCGAGCGUAUGGGGCUCUGUCACCCGCUCUGGAGGCCUGGCCGGCUGCCGUCGACCCCUCAGACCUUAUUACCGGUUGACCUCGGAUCAGGCAGGGAUACCCGCUGAACUUAAGCAUAUCAAUAAGCGGAGGA